CUCAGUAACACGUAGCUAACCUUACCUUAGGACGUGGAUACCCCCGAGAAAUUGGGGUAAUCCGCGAUAGAUGUAAUGUCCUGGAAUGGUAUUACGUCUAAAGGUAUUUCAUACAUGUUUGAAAUAUGCUAAGGAUGGGGCUGCGGCCGAUCAGGCUGUUGCUGAGGUAAUGGCUCACCAAACCUUUGACCGGUACGGGCCAUGAGAGUGGUAGCCCGGAGAUGGACACUGACUCAAGCGUUCAGGCCUAAGGGGUGCAGCAACCGCGAAACCUCCACAAUGCACUCACGUGCGAUGGGGAUAUCUCGAGUGCCACCUGAUGAAGGUGGCUUUUCCUUGGUCUUCAAAGCCUUGGGAAUAAGAGGGGGGCAAGACUGGUGUCAGCCGCCGCGGUAACACCAGCCCCUCGAGUGGUGGGGAUGAUUAUUUGGCUUAAAGCGUCCGUAGCCGGCCGUGAAAGUCUUCCGUUAAAUCCAGCGUCUCAAGCGUUGGACCGCGGGAGAUACUGCACGGCUAGAGAGUGGGAGAGGUCAGCGGUAUUCUGGGGGUAAGGGCGAAAUCCUUUGAUCCCCGGAGGACCACCAGUGGGGAAGGCUGCUGACUAGAACACGUCUGACGGUCAGGGACGAAAGCUGGGGUAGCGAACCGGAUUAGAUACCCGGGUAGUCCCAGCCGUAAACGAUGCAUGCUAGGUGUUGGGUUGGCCACGAGCCACCCCAGUGCCGCAGGGAAGCCGUUAAGCAUGCCGCCUGGGAAGUACGAUCGCAAGAUUGAAACAUAAAGGAAUUGGCGGGGGAGCACCACCCGGCGUGAAGCCUGCGGUUUAAUUGGAGUCAACGCCGGA
rnacentral:rRNA from 1 species